rnacentral:misc_RNA from 1 species
CGUAACAAGGUCUCCGUUGGUGAACCAGCGGAGGGAUCAUUACUGAGUUUACGCUCUAUAACCCUUUGUGAACAUACCUAUAACUGUUGCUUCGGCGGGUAGGGUCUCCGCGACCCUCCCGGCCUCCCGCCCCCGGGCGGGUCGGCGCCCGCCGGAGGAUAACCAAACUCUGAUUCAACGACGUUUCUUCUGAGUGGUACAAGCAAAUAAUCAAAACUUUUAACAACGGAUCUCUUGGUUCUGGCAUCGAUGAAGAACGCAGCGAAAUGCGAUAAGUAAUGUGAAUUGCAGAAUUCAGUGAAUCAUCGAAUCUUUGAACGCACAUUGCGCCCGCCAGCAUUCUGGCGGGCAUGCCUGUUCGAGCGUCAUUUCAACCCUCAAGCUCCGCUUGGUGUUGGGGCCCUACAGCUGAUGUAGGCCCUCAAAGGUAGUGGCGGACCCUCCCGGAGCCUCCUUUGCGUAGUAACUUUACGUCUCGCACUGGGAUCCGGAGGGACUCUUGCCGUAAAACCCCCCAAUUUUCCAAAGGUUGACCUCGGAUCAGGUAGGAAUACCCGCUGAACUUAAGCAUAUCA